rnacentral:lncRNA from 1 species
GCGAUUUAGCUUUGGCAUCAUUCUACGUUUGGCGAGGGACAGAUUCCACCGAAAUCUCACGUAUGUUUUCAAUUUCAUCUGUACAAGAAAUCAUGGACUACAGCAACAGGUCAAACAUUCCUAAUCAAAAUAGUGUCAUAGCUGGGAGAAGAAUUAACAUACCUUUUCGUUGUGAUUGCUUAAACAACGAAUUCUUAGGCCAUGUUUUUCCAUACCAGGUUAACACUAGUGAUACGUACAGUCUCGUUGCAUCUAAUUAUUCGGAUUUAACGACAGUGGAUAUGUUAAGG